ACUCUCGGUGCUUCACCGUGCCCCUCUCCUUCCCUGAGACCCUAACUUGUGACGUUCUGCUUCGAUGUCCACGGGUUGGGUUCUCGGGAGCUGUGAGAGGCACUCAGUCGUCCACCCAUCCA
rnacentral:precursor_RNA from 8 species